rnacentral:lncRNA from 1 species
AGAAACAAAACAGGAAGAGUUGGGACACAGAGAAGUAACCUUCCGCGCUACCCAGGGACGCCUUCUGCCCACGACGAGCUUCCUCCUUGGAGGGACCUCAGAAGUCCCAGGCUUCAUAGUGUCAAGUUCAACAGAAAGAGUAGUUUUCAUCUUUCCACAGUUCUUAGAAAAGUCCUGAGACUGAGUUUUACUGGGCAAUGUCAGUUUAGUAAAAGGGACAGGAUGUUAGCAAAGGAAGGCAUUACCAGCAAUAAGAAGUGAUAGCUGCCACGGGAAGCAAAUGCAGAAACAGCAGCCUGGGCUGUUCCAUGCAGGGGAGUUCAGCUCAGGUGGGCAAAACCAGAUAACUAACAUGAACAGUGGAACAAUCAGUGAACCAAUACAAGGGUUAAAUAAGCUAGCAAUUAAAAGCUGUAUCACUGGUCUAAAGAUAGAAGAUCAAGUAGAAAAUCAGCGCAAGAGGAAAGAUAUACGAAAACUAAUGACCUUCAAGGUUUGGCUGAACAGCUGAACUGCAGGAUGGAUUGGAAUGCCUAGAACCAGAAACUUAGGAUGCCUAGAACCAGAAACUCAGCCAUUGCUGAGGUUCACUGCUUCUCAGCGCUGCUGCUUUAUACACACAAACUGUAUUCUCUCCCACUGUUUUGUCUUCUUUCAUAAAGCAGGAAACAUAGGUGCUCAUAACUUGUGAGUUUUAAGUCUUACUCUAGAGUUUACAAAUGCA